UGAUGCAGCGACGCCGCGUGAAGGAAGAAGUAUCUCGGUAUGUAAACUUCUAUCAGCAGGGAAGAGAUUGACGGUACCUGACUAAGAAGCCCCGGCUAACUACGUGCCAGCAGCCGCGGUAAUACGUAGGGGGCAAGCGUUAUCCGGAUUUACUGGGUGUAAAGGGAGCGUAGACGGAUGGACAAGUCUGAUGUGAAAGGCUGGGGCUCAACCCCGGGACUGCAUUGGAAACUGCCCGUCUUGAGUGCCGGAGAGGUAAGCGGAAUUCCCAGUGUAGCGGUGAAAUGCGUAGAUAUUAGGAGGAACACCAGUGGCGAAGGCGGCUUACUGGACGGUAACUGACGUUGAGGCUCGAAAGCGUGGGGAGCAAACAGGAUUAGAUACCCUGGUAGUCCACGCGGUAAACGAUGAAUGCUAGGUGUCGGGGAGCAAAGCUCUUCGGUGCCGCCGCAAACGCAUUAAGCAUUCCACCUGGGGAGUACGUUCGCAAGAAUGCAAC
rnacentral:rRNA from 1 species